GGAUAUAGAAUGUUACCAUGGACAGUGGAGCCAGCAGCAAUCACGCCAUCACUCAUCUUGUUGUCUCCUUUGCACGCUGUGUAACACUACAUUUUUGUUUUUGCAGUUACUACGAUCCCUACUGCGGCGUCAUCGUGUACUUUAGAGUCAUAGAUGGAGCUUGUGUCGAGGAGAAUCAGUAAAAUUUAUGUCUAGUGGAAAGGUGGGUAUUUUUCUCAUUCAGAACGUGUAUGGGGUAUGUCAAUUUGCUCAGUUGCUGAUGCAAGGGUUGGAGAUACCAUUACAAGUUCUCCCAGAAAACAUGAAAAAGGCGCUUCCUGGAUAUCAUCAGGCAACUCCAAUGGUUUUCUGUGUAUUGAUGCAGAUCAGUAAGUCUACUUGUUGCACUAAUGAUAUACCUGAACUCGUCCCGUUUCAUCAAGUUUCCCGAGGAAAGUUGGGAUUUGGAUUUUUCUUGGCCUUAUGAGCUGCUCUUUUCUUUUCUUGCCGUGAAUGCCGUGAGCUUAUCAAACGCUGCUUUGACUCUCGGCGAGCAAAGCACUCUCGAGAAUUAGCCAAGGUGUCAAGGGUCAAGGGAUCAUUGACCAAUUACAGCCAUCAAAUAAAGCGCCCAGACUUUAACCCAGUN
rnacentral:lncRNA from 1 species